rnacentral:rRNA from 1 species
AUGGUGGCAGCCACCAUGUCCCUCUCCUCCUCGACCUUUGCCGGCAAGGCGGUGAAGAAUGUACAAUCUUUGGCUCUCUUUGGCGAGGCCCGAGUCACCAUGCGCAAGACCGCAGCGAAGGCGAAGCAGGUUUCCUCGGGCAGCCCAUGGUACGGUGCUGACCGUGUGCUUUACCUCGGCCCACUCUCCGGUGAGCCCCCGAGCUACCUGACAGGUGAGUUCCCAGGUGACUAUGGGUGGGACACAGCCGGACUUUCGGCUGACCCCGAGACCUUCUCCAAGAACCGAGAGUUGGAGGUGAUCCACUGUCGUUGGGCCAUGCUUGGGGCACUUGGUUGUGUCUUCCCUGAGUUGCUCGCUCGCAACGGUGUCAAGUUCGGCGAGGCUGUUUGGUUCAAGGCCGGCUCCCAGAUCUUUAGUGAGGGUGGUCUCGACUACCUCGGCAACCCCAGCCUUGUGCACGCGCAAAGCAUCCUAGCUAUUUGGGCAUGUCAGGUCGUGCUCAUGGGUGCUGUCGAGGGGUACCGCGUUGCCGGUGGCCCACUCGGCGAGAUAGUCGACCCACUAUACCCAGGAGGCAGCUUUGACCCUCUCGGACUCGCCGACGACCCUGAGGCAUUCGUUGAGCUCAAGGUGAAAGAGAUCAAGAACGGUCGCCUCGCCAUGUUCUCAAUGUUCGGCUUCUUUGUCCAAGCUAUCGUUACGGGCAAGGGUCCACUUGAGAACCUUGCUGACCACAUCGCUGACCCCGUCAACAACAACGCAUGGGCGUUCGCCACCAACUUUGUCCCCGGCAAGUAA